GGGGUUAUAGCUCAGCUGGGAGAGCGCUUGCAUGGCAUGCAAGAGGUCCGCGGUUCGAUUCCGCGUAGCUCCACCA
rnacentral:tRNA from 1 species